UCGGGGUUUUUUGCCAUGCGGGGCCGAGAGAAUCCCUUUUAACCUGAAUGGAAAAUAAUCAGAAAGCAGCACUCAACUCAUAAUAGGAUCGGGAGAUCUUUAUCUGAGCUCUUUGGAAACAGCGGCGGGGACAAAAAUAAGUUGGCUGUCACUAGGCAGGAGCAGAAAAAUAUUCUGCUUGGCUUACUCAUCACCCUUCAGAGGAAAAAGCAAAACAAAAACCCAGCGUACAAAUUAAGAUUCUCCAAUAUGGCUUCCUUCUUCUCCAUCCUCUCACCAGUUCACCGCCGUCUUGUCUCCCAAAACGUUCAGGGCCUGGAUUAUUAUUAUUAUUAUUAUUAAAAUCCUGAUUUAAGAAGGGGGGAAAAAAAAUAAUCGUUUCACCUUCGCAAUCCACCUUUCCUAAACCCGGCGUCAACAGUAGACUUUGUUUUGCAAAGAACGCGAUUAAAAAUUAACUUCGUGCUAUCUUGGUUUUUGCCUUUCCAAAUCUCGACCGAAACAUUCCUCUGCACAUAAACCACCCAGGGUUUAUGAAGCGAAAAGAGGACAACCGAAGGAAAAUGGCGUUCUUGGCAGAAUUUCUGAACAAUGGAGUUGGAAGGGACCUUGGAGGUCUUCUAGUCCAACCCUCUGCUCAAGCAGGAGACUCUAUACCAGUCAUGGAGAACAUUUUCGGCAUCGAGUGCCCAAACCGGAAAGUGGAUGCAUGCGCAUACCGAAAACUCAAAGACCAGCUGGUGGACAUGCCCGUUUUUGGAAGUCUUUCAGGCUGUUUUUCAGACCAUUUUUGGGGCGUUUUUCGGCCAUUUCCCCGCCAUUUUCCGGGCUGUUUUUUUGGGCCGUUUUCUGGCCAUUUUCAGGGCGUUUUGAGGGCAUUUUCAGGGCUGUGUUCCGGCUGUUUUCAGGGGCAUUUUUGGGCUGUUUUCAGGGCUGCUUUUUUGGACCAAAAAUGGCCUGAAAAAUAGCCUAAAAGGUGCUCCGGCACUCGCGAAGACCAGCUGGUUGGCGUGCUGGAAACAAGAGAAGCUGGCGAUGGCGCGCAUGCCCAGGGAAGGCUUUGCGUGCCACCGGUUCGCCAUCAUAGCUCUAUACCAUUCCAGGCAAAUAGUUGCCAAAUCUCUUCUUCAAAAUCUCCAGUGAUGGAGAACCCACGACUUCUGAAGAAAAGGCAUUCUACUUGAUGAACUGUUCUAAAUGUCAGGAAAUUUCUCCUGAAUUCUGCUGUUGAGACGUCUGGUUCGGUUCUGCAACCCAACAAGAAAGACACAGACUUCAGAGGAUAAUUAGAACUGCAGAAGAAAUAAUUGCUACCAACCUGCCUUCCAUUGAGGACCUGUAUACUGCACAAAUCAAGAAGAGGGCCGUGAAAAUAUUUACAGAUCCCUCACAUCCUGGACAUAAACUGUUUCAACUCCUACCCUCAAAACGACCUAUAGAGCACUGCACACCAGAACAACUAGACACAAGAACAGUUUUUUCCCUGAAGGCCAUCACUCUGCUAAACAAAUAAUUCCCUCAACACUGUCAAACUAUUUUCUAAAUCUGCACUACUAUUAAUCUUCUCAUCGUUCCCAUCACCAAUCUCUUUCCACUUAUGACUUUAUGACUGUAACUUGUUUCUGGCAAUCCUUAUGAUUUAUAUUGAUAUAUUGACCAUCAAUUGUGUUGUAAAUGUUGUACCUUGAUGAACGUAUCUUUUCUUUUAUGCACACUGAGAGCAUAUGCACCAAGACAAAUUCCUUGUGUGUCCAAUCACACUUGGCCAAUAAAAAAUUCUAUUCUAUUCUAUUCUAUUCUAUUUAUGAUAGACAACUCUUUAGCCUAAUGUUUAGGCUACUCUUCAUACGUUUUCGUUCAUCGCGCAGCUACGAUUUGCUUUCAACCAGGGUUUCUCAACACUGGGCACGUUUGAGCCAGGUGGACUUCAAUUCCCAGGAUUCCCCAGCCAGCCAUGAUGGCUGUGGAAUUCUGGGAGUUGAAGUUCCACCACCACCACCAUCCUAAACUUAUCAAGGUUAAAAACACUGGUUUAAGCCAUUCUAAGUUGAGUUCACCAACUCUUAAUCGACAAGAGCACAACGGCCGAAGUUGUGUGCUUUGUCCAGAAGUGCAAUCUACCCUGUGUACAUUGUGUAAAUACAACUAUUUAAGGCAACUAUUGGAUGGCAACCAACAGGACGUGGGAGGUGAAAAUCCGACAAAUAAAUAUUUUGGAGACGUUGGGAAGCUUGCGAUUUCACUUUCCGGUCCAAAAAAACAAGAGAAAAACCUUGACGCUCAAUUCUUUCAGCACAUUUUUUCUCUCGCCUGCCCUACAGACAUCAACAACUAAGAAUUUGAAACCAUGCCACGGAAUUGGGAAAGAGCCUUAGAAAAAAUCUCGAUUCCUUCUACAAGUGGAUGACUGCACACCUACCGCCGUGACUCGUAUUAAGAGCAGGCUCGGCCACCGCAAAAUUGUCGUCAUGGCUUUUAUCAGAAAUCCCUGUAAACCUAGGUAGGGUUUACCAAGUCGGACUAAGGCAGGGGUCUCCAACCUUGGCAACUUUAAGACUUGUGGACUUGAACUCCCAGAAUUGAAGAAUUGAGGAAUUCUGGGAGUUGAAGUCCACAAGUCUUAAAGUUGCCAAGGUUGGAGACCCCUGGACUAAGGAACGAGACCCCUGGACUAAGGAACACAACACGGGGCUGUGUUUGGACCCAUCUCCAGUAUUAACCUGUGGCCGGCUUUGCAACGACACUGGGCUAAUUAUAAACAUCCUCCUGCUUUGGCUAUUAAUAUUCUGUGACCUGUGCGACGCUUUGAAAGAGGAGGCCUGAUUUCUUGUAGAUGGACCACGUGAUACGCCAAUGCAACGCUGCAAGUGUUUAUUACUUGUCUACGGUGUUUGCAUGCUGAGCCAGCCAUGCAUGGGGCUUGUUCUUCGUUUCCUGUUUCCCAGACUUCAGAGGGUUAAGUCAAACCUAUGCAAGUCAAGAUCAGUUCUAUGAUCCACGUGUGGCUGUAUCUGGCUUGUCUUAAUCAACGUGGUUGUUUGUAUUCACACAACACCAUGAACUAUUCAUUCAUGGUGUGUUGGUGUUGACAGAAGACGUGAAUCCGCAAAACAAGGAAUCAAUCUGUGGCCCAGUAUCAGUGAUGGGUUGCUCCUGGUUCAGUCCGGUUCUAUAGAACCGGUAGUAAAACCGGUGGGAGACGCCGCCCACCCACCACGUCGUCAUCCUGGGUGAUCUGUGCAUGCGCAGAAGCGUGCUUGCGCGCUCCCGUUGCAAACAGGUAGUAAAAAAAAAGAUCUGCCUGCAAGUUUUAAUUGGAAGAAGAGACGGGCCAGUUCCAGAAUUAAAAUACCAGACUUUAAAAACCACGGAGGGUAAUGGCAGCGGUGGGAUCCUGCUGGUUUAACAACUGGUUUGGUGACUGUGUGUUUUGCGGGUGGGUGGGUGGGCAGGCCGACCUGAUUGUCGGAGCUACCGGUUCGCUUGAUACCGGUCUGUACUGGCUAAAUCCCACUACUGGGUUACAGUCAAGUUUUGUCUUGACCACUCACUUUCAGUGCAGGAUAAAAGGGAGGGAGGGGAGUUUAAAAUGAAGGGAGAACACCCCGAUAAAGCAGUAAUAAAUAAACUUAAAAAGGCCAUCUCUGAAAAUCUACCACCAACUGUUUAACCAUCUCUCUUUAGCUUUGGACAUGGCAAGUGGGCACAUUUCUAUAUAUUUCUACGCACGAAUGCUGUGCAGGUGGUCCUCGACUUACAACCGUGACCAUUCAAAGUGUAUUGUGCUUUUUCCCCCCCUUGUAUUGUGUAUUUUAACUUUUUGGAAAUUCAAUAAAUAUUAUUUAAAAAAGAACAAACAAAGUUACAACAUCACUGAAAAGAGAGACUUGUGACCAUUUUUCAGAGUUACAACCUUUGUAGCCUCCCCAUGAUAAAUCAGGCGAUCAAAAUCCACAUGCUUAGCAACUGUUGUAAAUGUUGUACCUUGAUGAAUGUAUCUUUUCUUUUAUGUACACUGAGAGCAUAUGCACCAAGACAAAUUCCUUGUCUGUCCAAUCACACUUGGUCAAUAAAAAUUCUAUUCUAUUCUAUUCUAUUCUAUUCUAUUCUAUUCUAUUCUAUUCUAUUCUAUUCUAUUCUAUUCUAUUCUAUUCUAUUCCCUCCCGAUCAGCUGGGACUCGGGAGGCAGAGAAUAGAUGGGGGGCAGGGCCAGUCAGAAUCUUUACUACCGGUUCUCCGAACUACUCAAAAUUUCCGCUACCGGUUUUCCAGAACUGGUCGGAACCUGCUGAAACCCACCUCUGGAACAGUGGCUCCUUCAGGACUUGUGGACUUCGACUUCCAGAAUUCCUGACCACAAGUCCUAAAAGGGCUACCGUUCCACCCCCCCACCCCCCCACCCCCAUCUUACACAGAAAAAUUGCCAUUUCUCCAGCUGACCUCCCGGGACAUCUUGUUUGCAAACGAUCCUGCACCUCCGCUUUCGAAAUCCAAGUUCAUCCGCCAAACAUAAUAAGGUCGAGACAAGAGCCUCCUUGUCACUCUAUUAAGAACCAUUUCAAUUUCACCUCCAGCA